rnacentral:lncRNA from 1 species
CUCAACUCCUCCAGCCUGCAGAAGCUCUUCCGGGAAGUGCGGAUAAUGAAGGUCCUGAACCACCCCAACAUAGUGAAGCUCUUCGAGGUGAUCGAGACGGAGAAGACGCUGUACCUCGUCAUGGAGUACGCCAGCGG